rnacentral:rRNA from 1 species
UCGAGAAUCUUCCGCAAUGGACGCAAGUCUGACGGAGCGACGCCGCGUGGUGGAUGAAGUCCUUCGGGACGUAAACAUCUUUUAUGAGGGAUGAAGUUUUGACAGUACCUCAUGAAUAAGGGGCUCCUAACUCUGUGCCAGCAGGAGCGGUAAUACAGAGGCCCCAAGCAUUAUCCGGAAUCACUGGGCGUAAAGGGUGCGUAGGUGGCGUUAUUAGUCCUUCUUUAAAUCUUCCGAGCUCAACUCGGAAGCUCGGAAGGAAACGGUAGCGCUAGAGGAUGUACGAGGUAUGUGGAACUCACGGUGUAGGGGUGAAAUCCGUUGAUAUCGUGGGGAACACCGAAUGCGAAGGCAGCAUACUGGGACAUUCCUGACACUGAGGCACGAAAGCGUGGGUAGCGAAAAGGAUUAGAUACCCCUGUAGUCC